UACGUAGGGGGCAAGCGUUGUCCGGAAUCAUUGGGCGUAAAGAGCGCGUAGGCGGUCCGAUAAGUCGGCUGUGAAAGUCCAGGGCUCAACCCUGGAAAGCCGGCCGAUACUGUCGGACUAGAGUUCGGAAGAGGCGAGUGGAAUUCCCGGUGUAGCGGUGAAAUGCGCAGAUAUCGGGAGGAACACCAAUUGCGAAGGCAGCUCGCUGGGACGAUACUGACGCUGAGGCGCGAAAGCGUGGGGAGCAAACAGG
rnacentral:rRNA from 1 species